UGCAGUCGAGCGGUAACAGAUCCAGCUUGCUGGAUGCUGACGAGCGGCGGACGGGUGAGUAAUGCAUAGGAAUCUGCCCGAUAGUGGGGGAUAACCUGGGGAAACCCAGGCUAAUACCGCAUACGUCCUACGGGAGAAAGGGGGCUUCGGCUCCCGCUAUCGGAUGAGCCUAUGUCGGAUUAGCUAGUUGGUGAGGUAACGGCUCACCAAGGCCACGAUCCGUAGCUGGUCUGAGAGGAUGAUCAGCCACAUCGGGACUGAGACACGGCCCGAACUCCUACGGGAGGCAGCAGUGGGGAAUAUUGGACAAUGGGGGGAACCCUGAUCCAGCCAUGCCGCGUGUGUGAAGAAGGCCCUCGGGUUGUAAAGCACUUUCAGCGAGGAAGAACGCCUAGCGGUUAAUACCCGCUAGGAAAGACAUCACUCGCAGAAGAAGCACCGGCUAACUCCGUGCCAGCAGCCGCGGUAAUACGGAGGGUGCAAGCGUUAAUCGGAAUUACUGGGCGUAAAGCGCGCGUAGGUGGCUUGAUAAGCCGGUUGUGAAAGCCCCGGGCUCAACCUGGGAACGGCAUCCGGAACUGUCAAGCUAGAGUGCAGGAGAGGAAGGUAGAAUUCCCGGUGUAGCGGUGAAAUGCGUAGAGAUCGGGAGGAAUACCAGUGGCGAAGGCGGCCUUCUGGACUGACACUGACACUGAGGUGCGAAAGCGUGGGUAGCAAACAGGAUUAGAUACCCUGGUAGUCCACGCCGUAAACGAUGUCGACCAGCCGUUGGGUGCCUAGCGCACUUUGUGGCGAAGUUAACGCGAUAAGUCGACCGCCUGGGGAGUACGGCCGCAAGGUUAAAACUCAAUGAAUUGACGGGGGCCCGCACAAGCGGUGGAGCAUGUGGUUUAAUUCGAUGCAACGCGAGAACCUUACCUACUCUUGACAU
rnacentral:rRNA from 1 species